rnacentral:rRNA from 1 species
GAUGAACGCUGGCGGCGUGCCUAAUACAUGCAAGUCGAGCGAACGGACGAGAAGCUUGCUUUUCUGAUGUUAGCGGCGGACGGGUGAGUAACGCGUGGAUAACCUACCUAUCAGACUGGGAUAACUUCGGGAAACCGGAGCUAAUACCGGAUAAUCUUUUGAACCGCAUGGUUCAAAAGUGAAAGACGGUCUUGCUGUCACUUAUAGAUGGAUCCGCGCUGCAUUAGCUAGUUGGUAAGGUAACGGCUUACCAAGGCAACGAUGCAUAGCCGACCUGAGAGGGUGGUCGGCCACACUGGAACUGAGACACGGUCCAGACUCCUGCGGGAGGCAGCAGUAGGGUAUCUUCCGCAAUGGGCGAAAGCCUGGCGGAGCAGCGCCGCGUGAGUGAUGAAGGUCUUCGGAUCGUAAAACUCUGUUAUUAGGGAAGAACAGAUGUGUAAGGAACUGUGCACAUCUUGACGGUACCUAAUCAGAAAGCCACGGCUAACUACGUG